rnacentral:piRNA from 1 species
UCGGGCAGAGUGACCUGGACAAGCUUAGU